rnacentral:rRNA from 1 species
UACGAAGGGGGCUAGCGUUGCUCGGAAUGACUGGGCGUAAAGGGCGCGUAGGCGGCUCAUACAGUCAGGCGUGAAAUUCCUGGGCUCAACCUGGGGACUGCGCUUGAGACGUGUGGGCUUGAGUGAGGAAGAGGGUCGUGGAAUUCCCAGUGUAGAGGUGAAAUUCGUAGAGAUCGGGAGGAACACCAGUGGCGAAGGCGGCCCUCUGGGCCGGGCCUGACGCUGAGACGCGAGGGCGUGGGGAGCGAACGGG